AGAGAUAUCGCCGCGCAGGUGAACGAUAGCCACGUUUCGUACUGUCUCAGAUAAUAUCUAAAAUAUAUAGGUUUUCGGAGUAAUUGUAAGAAUAAAUAAAGUGAAGAUGCUGAUGAAAAGACGCGACAGAUAUACAAGGUGGACAAGGUUUGACGAUUUCCUGAUCAUAUUAACUGUUGUUGGUUCUCGUGAGCGUCCCGAUACUUACGAACAAGGGUGCAGACGAACCUAGGUACCAUCAGCACUUGAACAACAAUAUGAAGGAAGAGAACGCAAGAACAGGAAGAGAGAAUCCUCCGAAACAGGAUGCAAUCAGUCUCGUAUUGCAAUAUCGUUAUGGAAUAACCAGACAGGGAAAAGAC